UUUCCGUAGGUGAACCUGCGGAAGGAUCAUUAUCACAUGAUUCCAUGUAUAAACCAUUCGUGCACUGUUAAACAACUGAAAACCCCCUUUAAACUUUUGAACUAACGUUUUCAUACUCCAAUAAAACGGAGAUGAAAUUCUUACGAAACAAAGAACAACUCUUAGCAACGGAUAUCUUGGUUCUCGCAUUGAUGAAGAACGCAGC
rnacentral:misc_RNA from 1 species